UAGUUAAGUUCUUGAAACUCAAAGAAUUUGGCGGUGUUUUAGUCUAUUCAGAGGAAUCUGUCCCAUAAUUGAUAAUUCACGAAUAUAAUUAACUUGAUUUUGUAUAAAAUCAGCUUGUAUACCGCCGUCAUCAGAUUAUUUUUUUAGAAUAUUUUCUUAAAAUUUUAUUAGAUUAUAUGUCAGGUCAAGGUGCAGUUUAUAAUUAAGAGGAGAUGGAUUACAAUAAAAUUAUUUAUUUACGGAUGUUAUAAUGAAAUUUUUGACUGAAGGUGGAUUUGAUAGUAAAAUUAUUUUUAGUAGUUUGAUUUAAGCUCUAAAACAUGUACACAUCGCCCGUCGCUCUCGUUUAUUAAGGCGAGAUAAGUCGUAACAUAGUAGAUGUACUGGAAAGUGUAUCUAGAAAGA
rnacentral:rRNA from 1 species